CAGACCUUGCUCAGGCAAACUUCAACUCCGAAUGGGUGAGAACUGGUUUUGGCUCUGUGCUGCAAUACUAUAGCUUUAGAGAGUGACACAACAUUAAGGAAUCUUCAAAAAUGUAAUCAGCUGUGUUUGAAAACGGGCUUGUUUUGAAUGACUCCCUUCUUUUCAGUGCUGAGGGUACAGCACAGCGUUUUUCCCAUUUGUCUGCACCCUCGCAAAAAAAUCUCGGCAGGAAACAUCCAGACAGUCUGAAUGGUUACGUCGCGCUAACAGCGUGGUUCUAGAAGAGUUCCAUUUUUGGACUGCUUUACCUUUAACAACCUGAUUACAUUGUCAGAUGUACUUCCGGAGUUCCAUUGCUUCUGAUUUCUAAUGCCAAUAGCAAAGACUUGCCAGAACCCCUGAGAAGCAACCCUUCACAUUUUGAUAUAAAUAACAGAAUAUAUUAUGUAUUGGACAUUGCAGGGAAACUUGACUUGCGGGGGAAAAAAAAUACGAACACUUUGUUCUGUGAUCGGAGGCAUUCAGACAUUGGAUCAAAACUGGAUCUCCCUGCAUGAGCAGACCCCCUGAAGUCAGGAUUUGGUUCUUCAAUGGAACAUGCUUGGUGUCUAUGAGGGCAGGAGUGAGCUCCAUGAAAAGCUCUUAGAAGAAGGGGAGAUGAAGAGAGGCAAGAAAGAAGAAUAGCAGACAAGAGAUUAAAGCUUUUUAUUCAGUAUCUCUUUCGUAUUCAAAUUGUGCUAAGGGCUCUGUGAAAGUUAGAAGCAAGCUUGUUCAGGAGGGCUUCUAAAGUGUGUACAUGGAUUUCACGGGAAUAGAAAAGAAGCCACGGACUGGGUAAUGAAAGAAAGAUAAGAUGUCCUAUAUAAAACAACUCAAGAGUGGUUCAAUUACUUCAGCAAACCAUCAAGGCAAGCUUUGAAGAUUUGAGAAAACACUGUUAAAAUUUAACAAAAACCUCGUGUUGCAGGUUUUGUACCAAUAAAUGUUUGUAUACUGUGUGAAUUACUUAAGCUAUAUUCCCUGCAUGAACAUUGUUUGCGUCCUUGGUUUUUCUGGAAGAGAGACAUUUGCUAUGCCAUACUGUUAAGAAAAAUGAAGUAUUCAUGUUUGAUCUCUUAUUUUUCUGACAGGCAGUGAUGCCAUCCAAAAAAAAAAUGGCAUCAUUGUUUACAAAAAUAAGGUUGGGAAUUAGAGCUCCAUGUAUUCCUGACGGUUUCUUGCGUAUUUCUGUUAGUCGUUAAAGUAGUCUUGACAAAGGCCUAAGUCAUAUAAGAAAUAAUUAACCAGAUUCAUCCAGUGAAAGAUCUAAACUGGGGGAUAUGCCAGCUAUAAAAAUAAAAUGCGGCUGUUUAGAAAAUACCUAUUUUUAAUUGCAGCUAUGUCUCCCUGCCAAUUCUCUGUGCCGGAGACUUGACAAGUAACAUCAAACAUGGUCCAAGAACAAAGCCAGCCAACCAUGGCCUGCAGCAUCCUUCAACCAAAAGUCACCUUUACUCAGGCUUUGCCAUCUAAUUUGCUGUGUUUCUGUAUGUGCUCUUCAAGCAGAAGUCCUACAACCCUCAAUAUAAAGCUUUCCAGUUUUCUGCUCUGAGAGAUUACAGUGGCAAUGCUAGAAUGAUUUAACAAUUUGAAAAUCAUAAGCCACCCUGGAGUUGUGAGUUUUUGAGAUGCAGCACCCUCGCCCUUCCCCCUUAGGUUUUUAAAAUAUAUAUACAUACUGACUGACAGUUCUGUAAGUCUCCCUAGUUUAAAUGCAGUUACAUCCAUUUUUGUGCAAAUGUCCGCAAACAAUUAAGACAAAAUUUACUUACAGGCUUUUUUUAAUGGAAAGGUCAAAUAGAUGGCAAACUUAGAUUCCAAUUCAAGUGAAAGACAGAAAUAUCUUGUUCAAUUCCCAGGACAAUAAAUAACUCUUAAGAAAAGCUUAUAAAAGUGUGUCUUGAACAAAACUCAUCUCAUGAUGUUAGUAAAAAGAAAGAAGCUAAACUUAAUAUGUAAAACAAAAAAUAAACCCCUUCACUCCUGCCCCUAAUCUCUAGGGAAGAUUGAUAAAGACUUUCAGAACAAUGCUAAUGUUCUAAGAUGAGUAACCAAGAUUUUCCGCAGGACUGUCUAAAAUUUCAUAGUCUCCUAAAAUCUCAGCUCAUCAACUUGAGAUGUCAAAAGACCAUUAAAAAUCAGACUUCUAAGGUUUCUCAUCUUCCUUACUACUGAGUAGUUCUAUUGGCUUGACAGAGCUGCCUCAUGUGAGAAAAGUAAACAUGAUUUACCCUCUAAUGUUGACACCUGUUAACACCAGAUGAACUGAACAGCUUUGACACUCAAACCCUCACUGGUUCAUUCUUGAAAAUACUUUGGCACAAAAGGACAAGAACAAAUUGUAGAAAAUAGAUUUUCUAUGCUUAAAAAGCUAUAUCCAAAUCAUAUAAAUGAAGGAAGAAAGAUAUCUAAUUACGGGAAUUGUCAAACUCAGCCUUCAGACCGGCCCAAAUUCUAUUUUUAAUUAUGAUUCAUGAGCCAAUUUAUGCACUUAGGACUAACACCCUUCUUAAUAAAGAGGAACUCCCAUUGAGGGCAAUAAGAGGUUUGUACAGAAAUCAGGUAGAAUAUGGCCUUUAUGUAAUAGUAAUUAAACUUUCCAUUAUCAUUAUUCUGUGUUCAGUACCUUCUUGUCAUAUUCAGCACCAUUCAGUGGGAAAAUACACUCCCCAGUAGUACCAUUGUUAUUUCUGCUUUGUUACUAUUCCUUCCCCAUUCUCCUUUCUGUUUCUCUCCUUCUUUCUUGUUUGUGUCUUUCCAUUUUUCCUCUGCAUCUUCUCCAAUUCUAAUCCAAAUGAAUCAGUUCUUUUUCAGUAGUGGAAGUGUCUCUUUACUCCUCUGUGUGAUGCUAAGCAUCCUUGUAUUCACACCCGACACACUAUUGUAAACAUAUUUGUACAAAAUAUGCCUUGUAAGGUAUCAGCUGAAAACUAUUAACUCACUGAGUAUUAAUAUUCUUGUGUGAUGUACGUAUGUAUGUAAUGGGUAUUAAGAGUUAUGGAUAUAUUCUAGAAUUAUGACUAAAGAUGUGUAUAAACCAAGUAUGCCAGGGGAGUUGGUAAACAGGUCUGCAUAGAGAAAGGAAUGUGUUUUCCCCACCUGGGAGUGACUUCCAAAUUACUUUGCAGGAAAAUGAAAUUGUAUUUGCAUAUUCCAUAAAUGGACCCAUCAGGAUAACAACAGGUGUAGACAAACCUCACGCUAACAAGAACACAUGGCAUCUACACCCAGAAGGAGAGGGAAGCUUGGUCUGGGUUUUACUUUUCAAAGAAUACGUUGCAAAGGUUUACUGAUCUAUAAAGACAGGGGAGCUGUCAAGUGAUCAGCAAUUGAAUGAACUGAUUGUAUACAAUAUUACUGUUUUACAGAGUGAGGUCUUUGCUGAAAGCUAAUGACACAUGGGUGAAUAAUAUCAAUGGGAAAUGUGUGUGUUAACACUAUAUAAGGAAUUAUGGAAACUCAUUGAUAUUAGGUUAGACAACCUGCCCAGACAGGAGGGAAUGUUACAGCUAUCUACUUGUUUCCUAUGUAAAUUAAGCACGGUAUAACCAGAAACAACGGAAGCUCCAUUUACAUAGAAAUCAGCAGGGGAAUGGGAAGCCCGUAGGAAGGGGAAAGCAUCAUGAGGUCAUUCUGCCUCUUGAAACAAAGUCAUUGAACUUUGGUAAAUAUGAACAAAGACAGAAGCUAUCUUUGUCAUCCAUCGCUAGACAGACACAAGGGAACAGAGCUCUUCUUGCGAGCUGAGAAAGAUAGGUCCUUCAACCAAGGAGGGGGAGGAGGGUUUGAAGUCUCUGGAACUGAAUAUAGGUAAAAAAGCUGGUUAGGCAAAGAUCUUUCACCUGGAAAGACAAAGAAAGAAACACCUUGUACUUUUGUGGAAGGUCCUGACAGAGGGAAAAUCAGCCAUAGCUAGGGAGAAGAAUGGCUGGUAAGAGAAACCAUCUUGAACAAAGCCUGUAUCUUGCUGGAUUAAGUUUUAGACCCUUAGAAGCAUGUUUUCUUUUUUGUUUGCUUGUAAAGCUUUCUAACUUUAUUCCUUUUAUUUGGCAUCAUUCAACCUAAAUCCUAUUAUUAAUAAAUUUGUUUUAGUUUUUACUAUAACCCAACUCAGCAUGAUGGUUACAUGAAAAGUUGUAUUUACUCCAGUUAAAUUAAUAAUCUGUGAUGUGAUUUUGUCUCUUCACAGGAGAAACAAAACUUACUAUUUCUCUGAACUAUACAGGAGAGGACUGGACACAUCAAAACACACAGUUUGGUGGAAACUGGAACUGGGCCUGUGUUGGGGUGAUCUUGCUGGUUGUAACCUAAGCUGGUGGAAGCCAGAGUGGGGCAGUAGGUUGUUGACAGGAUGCUGGGGUCAGAGCUGCUGAACCAGGACUGUCUAGCACACAGUCACUCAGGAAGUGAUCCACAUGCUUGUAGGUUGGGUUCGAGCAGCCCAGGUUGGCAGCAACAGCAGCAAAGUAUCAUGAGACACCCAGGGUUACAGGGCAAGUGGUGACACAACCUCUCACUGGUCUGGACCUAAAUUGUAGAGUCUCUCAAGUUCUUGGAUUUCAGAUACACUGUGCGCCAGCUAAUCAUUGCCAGGUUGGACUAGAACAGAGAUUUUAUAGCUUAUUUUCAGUAAAACAAAGUUAGACGCAACAGCAAAACCUCCAACAAACUUGGGAAAGUUGAAGACUUCCCAAACGACUAUAUACCAAUUGCUUUGUACAUCAUGAUAGUAUCUGUCACACUCCCUACCUCUACCACAUUCACUGAAUGAGCUAAUCUUUCAUUUUUUUUACAAAGGCACCUACCUUUGACUUCUAUUGCUUCUGUUACUUCUCCUUCACAUCCUACUCCCUCCCUUCAUGGCUGCUUGUCAUUCCCAUGCUAUAUCUAUCUAAUUUAGAUUGUAUGCUCCUUGAAGCAGGGAUCUCCUCACUUUGUGAGUCUAAUUCAGUGUCCAUGGAAAGACUCCCAUUAAUUUGGGCUCUGAUGCACACACCUUGAAUGUGACAUUUAUGCACAACUAUGUAAAUAAUACAUAUAAUUAAUAGUUUGUGUGUGCAGACUUGUUCAGGAAAUACAGUAUUGCAAAAACCCUCCAGAAGGGUGUUUUCCAAAUCCCACUGGAGUUAUUCAGUCUUUUUUUCCACUGACAUCAGUGGCAGUUGGAUUAGAUCUUAACCAUAAGAGGAGAUAGCUUUUAUAAAGUUUGAAAACCUAUACAAAAGAAAUUUCAUGGAUACUCUUGCUUCAGAAAAGUAGCAAAGAUCGUUUCUCAGAAACUAAAUAAAAGGGCUUUGAUUAAUAGACCAUCAAAGGAAAUGUCUCCUGUCUUCCUUAAAAGAGCAGUUUCCUUCACUAUCAGCUUGAUGAAAUUGUACGAGGGAACUAUUUAACUAAUUUCCAUGGUUUUGAACUGGACAUACAGACAAAUACCAUUGUUAAGACACUAUAAAGUGAAACUUUAAAUCUGUAGAGCAUAGGAAAUCCUCCAGAGAUACAGUCUUGUUUAUGGUCAGUGAAGUUUUUUGUGGGGGGAGGGGGAAAAGGGUGUUCCAUAGUAUUCAGGUUCAUUAGAAUAAGUAUCAGCCUGGAAGAGCCCUAAUUUCUUCGAGACUGCAAAAGAGAUUCAAUUAAAACCUAAGCCCUUUUUCAAUUGUGGCACUAGAAUAAUAGAUUCUAUGGCAAGUAUCUUGGAGACGGUGGAAACGGCUGCUCGCUUUUUUAUGCAUAGUUCACUGAUUAACAUCUGCCUGAUUGAACUCUUAUAAACUUGGAAUGGACUCAAAUUUUAUUGAGUAGACUUGUUGAAAGGUCUCUGAAAUACAUGUAUAUGAGUCUCCUGGUAUGAAAGAAACUGGGACUACUUCACACUCCACUUCUGCUACCUGAGAUCUAUGAAGGAUGACAUUAAAAGCCAUUCAGAGUAAUGCAGUCAAACAUAUCAACAACCAAAGUCCUGUACUGUGAGCUGCUUAAAACCCUGAGGAAAGUGUUGAACACCCUUAACUUUGAUGCAAGUUGAGUGAUCUCAGCAGCUCUCAAGAGACACCUUACAGCACUGGGAUGCAAGAGCAAACCUUCAGUGAUCACAGGGGCUAUGAACAGAUAAGACAUUUAUUUAUUUCAUUAAUUAUUAAGGACAUCAGUGAUCAAAUAUUUAAUUUGGAUGAAGUGAGUUUGUUCCCUGAUAUGAAAUAAUUGUACAAUAGCUGAUGGCAUGUUUGUUUAAAAUUUCCAAAAAGAGUAAUAAAACACUAAUUUAUGCCAA